GAAGGGCGGGAAGGGCAGCUUGCCUUCACGAAGCUCCGGCUCUUCACUGUUGUUACAGAGAGUGUUCAGAGGACGACUGCAGAAACGGAGGCAAGCAUUGCAGCGGCUGUCGCCUUCUGUUUGAAAUAUGCCCCAGACAGGGUGG